GGACUACUGGGGUUUCUAAUCCUGUUUGCUCCCCUAGCUUUCGUGCCUCAGUGUCAGGAAUUGUCCAGAGACUCGCCUUCGCCACUGGUGUUCCACUUGAUAUCUACGCAUUUCACUGCUACACCAAGUAUUCCAGUCUCCCUUCCAAUCCUCGAGCGGGAUAGUAUUCAAUGCAGUUUCCGGGUUAAGCCCGGAGAUUUCACAUCAAACUUACCCUGCCACCUACGCACCCUUUACGCCCAGUGAAUCCGAACAACGCUUGGGACCUCUGUAUUACCGCGGCUGCUGGCAC
rnacentral:rRNA from 1 species